UACGUAGGUGGCGAGCGUUGUCCGGAAUUACUGGGUGUAAAGGGCGUGUAGGCGGGAUUGCAGUCAGAUGUGAAAUUCUUGAGCUCAACUCAAGGGCUGCAUCUGAAACUGUGAUUCUUGAGUGCUGGAAAGGAAAGCGGUAUUCCUAGUGUAGCGGUGAAAUGCGUAGAUAUUAGGAGGAACACCAGUGGCGAAGGCGGCUUUCUGGACAGUAACUG
rnacentral:rRNA from 1 species